rnacentral:rRNA from 1 species
UAUGUGAUCGUCUCUCGCAUAUCAAUAAGCGGAGGAAAAGAAACUAACAAGGAUUCCCCUAGUAACGGCGAGUGAAGCGGGAAGAGCUCAAAUUUGAAAUCUUAAAGGGUUUCCCUUUACGAAUUGUAGUUUAAAGAAGUGUUUUCUGUUGAGGUUUUGGUAAAAGUUCUUUGGAAUAGGACAUCAUAGAGGGUGUAGAAUCCCGUAUUUGACCUUUACUUUCAACUUUGUGAUACACUUUCAAAGAGUCGGAUUGUUUGGGAAUGCAGUCCAAAAUGGGUGGUAAAUUUCAUCUAAAGCUAAAUAUUGACGAGAGACCGAUAGCGAACAAGUACCGUGAGGGAAGAUGAAAAGAACUUUGAAAAGAGAGUUAAACAGUACGUGAAAUUGUCAAAAGGGAAGCGUUUGACACCAGUGUUGUUUUUCUGAAAAUCAAUUAAAGAACUGUUUAUGCUAAGCUGUUUAGACUUUAUCAGCUAUCUGUUUAGUUUUGAGCUUUUCUUUAAUGCACUUUUCAGUUAACAAGUCAACAUCAAUUUCUUUUGCUGUAAAAAAGCUUGAGGAAGGUGGCUUGAGAUUCGUCUUAAGUGUUUAUAGCCUCUUGCCUAUGCAGUCGGAGAGAUUGAGGUCUGCAGCGUAGAUCCUUCGGGGCUAAAUGCAUUUGUGCUAAGUUAUAGCAUUUUAUAGACAACUUGUUGACUAUGAUUUGUCUUGUAGCUUACUCGCUUAUGUUAUUUUACCUACGCUUAGGAUGUUGAAGAUAUGCGCGACACG